rnacentral:sRNA from 1 species
AGGUUACUCCUUGGCGCUUGCGCGCUGUUUUGAUGAAGAUUCGCACCUCUAUCAAAACGGGUAACCCCGCCUCUUGGCAAGGCCUUACUGUCAGAUCAAGUCUGAACUUCUACACGUAAUGUCUGUAGCUAUUCAGGGGGGCAUUUCAGAAUGAAACACGACGAACAAUUGCACAAUUCAACGCCC